UACGUAGGGUGCAAGCGUUGUCCGGAAUUAUUGGGCGUAAAGAGCUCGUAGGCGGUUUGUCGCGUCUGCUGUGAAAACCCGCGGCUCAACUGCGGGCCUGCAGUCGAUACGGGCAGGCUAGAGUUCGGUAGGGGAGACUGGAAUUCCUGGUGUAGCGGUGAAAUGCGCAGAUAUCAGGAGGAACACCGGUGGCGAAGGCGGGUCUCUGGGCCGAUACUGACGCUGAGGAGCGAAAGCGUGGGGAGCGAACAGG
rnacentral:rRNA from 1 species